UGCAGAAUCCCGUGAACCAUCGAGUCUUUGAACGCAAGUUGCGCCCGAAGCCACUAGGCCGAGGGCACGCCUGCCUGGGCGUCA
rnacentral:rRNA from 3 species